GGUUAAGCGACUAAGCGUACACGGUGGAUGCCCUGGCAGUCAGAGGCGAUGAAGGACGUGCUAAUCUGCGAAAAGCGCCGGCGAGGUGAUAUGAACCCUUGACCCGGCGAUGUCCGAAUGGGGAAACCCAGUGCAAUCCGUUGCACUAUCGUUAACUGAAUACAUAGGUUAACGAGGCGAACCGGGGGAACUGAAACAUCUAAGUACCCCGAGGAAAAGAAAUCAACCGAGAUUCCCCCAGUAGCGGCGAGCGAACGGGGAGCAGCCCGGAGUCUGAAUCAGCUUGUGUGUUAGUGGAACGGUCUGGAAAGUCCGACGGUACAGGGUGAUAGUCCCGUACACGAAAAUGCACAUGCUGUGAACUCGAAGAGUAGGGCGGGACACGUGGUAUCCUGUCUGAAUAUGGGGGGACCAUCCUCCAAGGCUAAAUACUCCUGACUGACCGAUAGUGAACCAGUACCGUGAGGGAAAGGCGAAAAGAACCCCGGCGAGGGGAGUGAAAAAGAACCUGAAACCGUGUACGUACAAGCAGUGGGAGCCUCUUUAUGGGGUGACUGCGUACCUUUUGUAUAAUGGGUCAGCGACUUAUAUUCUGUAGCAAGGUUAACCGUAUAGGGGAGCCGAAGGGAAACCGAGUCUUAACUGGGCGUUAAGUUGCAGGGUAUAGACCCGAAACCCGGUGAUCUAGCCAUGGGCAGGUUGAAGGUUGGGUAACACUAACUGGAGGACCGAACCGACUAAUGUUGAAAAAUUAGCGGAUGACCUGUGGCUGGGGGUGAAAGGCCAAUCAAACCGGGAGAUAGCUGGUUCUCCCCGAAAGCUAUUUAGGUAGCGCCUCGUGAACUCAUCUUCGGGGGUAGAGCACUGUUUCGGCUAGGGGGCCAUCCCGGCUUACCAACCCGAUGCAAACUACGAAUACCGAAGAAUGUUAUCACGGGAGACACACGGCGGGUGCUAACGUCCGUCGUGAAGAGGGAAACAACCCAGACCGCCAGCUAAGGUCCCAAAGUCAUGGUUAAGUGGGAAACGAUGUGGGAAGGCACAGACAGCCAGGAUGUUGGCUUAGAAGCAGCCAUCAUUUAAAGAAAGCGUAAUAGCUCACUGGUCGAGUCGGCCUGCGCGGAAGAUGUAACGGGGCUAAACCAUGCACCGAAGCUGCGGCAGCGACACUAUGUGUUGUUGGGUAGGGGAGCGUUCUGUAAGCCGUUGAAGGUGUGCUGUGAGGCAUGCUGGAGGUAUCAGAAGUGCGAAUGCUGACAUAAGUAACGAUAAAGCGGGUGAAAAGCCCGCUCGCCGGAAGACCAAGGGUUCCUGUCCAACGUUAAUCGGGGCAGGGUGAGUCGACCCCUAAGGCGAGGCCGAAAGGCGUAGUCGAUGGGAAACAGGUUAAUAUUCCUGUACUUGGUGUUACUGCGAAGGGGGGACGGAGAAGGCUAUGUCAGCCGGGCGACGGUUGUCCCGGUUUAAGCAUGUAGGCGGAGGUUCCAGGUAAAUCCGGUACCUUGUUAACGCUGAGGUGUGAUGACGAGGCACUACGGUGCUGAAGUGAUAAAUGCCCUGCUUCCAGGAAAAGCCUCUAAGCAUCAGGUAACACGAAAUCGUACCCCAAACCGACACAGGUGGUCAGGUAGAGAAUACCAAGGCGCUUGAGAGAACUCGGGUGAAGGAACUAGGCAAAAUGGUGCCGUAACUUCGGGAGAAGGCACGCUGAUGUGUAGGUGAAGCCCCUGCGGGCGGAGCUGAAAUCAGUCGAAGAUACCAGCUGGCUGCAACUGUUUAUUAAAAACACAGCACUGUGCAAACACGAAAGUGGACGUAUACGGUGUGACGCCUGCCCGGUGCCGGAAGGUUAAUUGAUGGGGUUAGCGGCAACGCGAAGCUCUUGAUCGAAGCCCCGGUAAACGGCGGCCGUAACUAUAACGGUCCUAAGGUAGCGAAAUUCCUUGUCGGGUAAGUUCCGACCUGCACGAAUGGCGUAAUGAUGGCCAGGCUGUCUCCACCCGAGACUCAGUGAAAUUGAACUCGCUGUGAAGAUGCAGUGUACCCGCGGCAAGACGGAAAGACCCCGUGAACCUUUACUAUAGCUUGACACUGAACACUGGUCCUUGAUGUGUAGGAUAGGUGGGAGGCUUUGAAGCGUGGACGCCAGUCUGCGUGGAGCCAACCUUGAAAUACCACCCUUUAAUGGCUGGUGUUCUAACGUAGACCCGUAAUCCGGGUUGCGGACAGUGUCUGGUGGGUAGUUUGACUGGGGCGGUCUCCUCCCAAAGAGUAACGGAGGAGCACGAAGGUUGGCUAAUCCUGGUCGGACAUCAGGAGGUUAGUGCAAUGGCAUAAGCCAGCUUGACUGCGAGCGUGACGGCGCGAGCAGGUGCGAAAGCAGGUCAUAGUGAUCCGGUGGUUCUGAAUGGAAGGGCCAUCGCUCAACGGAUAAAAGGUACUCCGGGGAUAACAGGCUGAUACCGCCCAAGAGUUCAUAUCGACGGCGGUGUUUGGCACCUCGAUGUCGGCUCAUCACAUCCUGGGGCUGAAGUAGGUCCCAAGGGUAUGGCUGUUCGCCAUUUAAAGUGGUACGCGAGCUGGGUUUAGAACGUCGUGAGACAGUUCGGUCCCUAUCUGCCGUGGGCGCUGGAGAAUUGAGGGGGGCUGCUCCUAGUACGAGAGGACCGGAGUGGACGCAUCACUGGUGUUCGGGUUGUCAUGCCAAUGGCACUGCCCGGUAGCUAAAUGCGGAAGAGAUAAGUGCUGAAAGCAUCUAAGCACGAAACUUGCCCCGAGAUGAGUUCUCCCUGAGACUUUAAGUCUCCUGAAGGAACGUUGAAGACGACGACGUUGAUAGGUCGGGUGUGUAAGCGCAGCGAUGCGUUGAGCUAACCGAUACUAAUGAACCGUGAGGCUUAACCUU
rnacentral:rRNA from 1 species